rnacentral:rRNA from 1 species
AGAGUUUGAUCCUGGCUCAGGAUGAACGCUGGCGGUAUGCUUAACACAUGCAAGUCGAACGGACUCUUCGGAGUUAGUGGCGGACGGGUGAGUAACGCGUGAGAAUCUGGCUUCAGGUUCGGGACAACAGUUGGAAACGGCUGCUAAUACCGGAUGUGCCUAAUGGUGAAAGAUUUAUCACCUGAAGAUGAGCUCGCGUCUGAUUAGCUAGUAGGUGUGGUAAGAGCGCACCUAGGCGACGAUCAGUAGCUGGUCUGAGAGGAUGAUCAGCCACACUGGGACUGAGACACGGCCCAGACUCCUACGGGAGGCAGCAGUGGGGAAUUUUCCGCAAUGGGCGAAAGCCUGACGGAGCAAUACCGCGUGAGGGAGGAAGGCUCUUGGGUUGUAAACCUCUUUUCUCAGGGAAGAAUGAUGACGGUACCUGAGGAAUAAGCAUCGGCUAACUCCGUGCCAGCAGCCGCGGUAAUACGGAGGAUGCAAGCGUUAUCCGGAAUGAUUGGGCGUAAAGCGUCCGCAGGUGGCAAUGUAAGUCUGCUGUCAAAGCGUCUGGCUCAACCAGAUAAAGGCAGUGGAAACUACAUAGCUAGAGUAAGGUAGGGGUAGAGGGAAUUCCUGGUGUAGCGGUGAAAUGCGUAGAGAUCAGGAAGAACACCGGUGGCGAAAGCGCUCUGCUGGACCUUAACUGACACUGAGGGACGAAAGCUAGGGGAGCGAAUGGGAUUAGAUACCCCAGUAGUCCUAGCCGUAAACGAUGGAUACUAGGCGUUGCCCGUAUCGACCCGGGCAGUGUCGUAGCUAACGCGUUAAGUAUCCCGCCUGGGGAGUACGCAGGCAACUGUGAAACUCAAAGGAAUUGACGGGGGCCCGCACAAGCGGUGGAGUAUGUGGUUUAAUUCGAUGCAACGCGAAGAACCUUACCAGGGCUUGACAUGUCCGGAAUCCUCUUGAAAGGGAGGAGUGCCUUCGGGAGCCGGAACACAGGUGGUGCAUGGCUGUCGUCAGCUCGUGUCGUGAGAUGUUGGGUUAAGUCCCGCAACGAGCGCAACCCUCGUUCUUAGUUGCCAUCAUUAAGUUGGGAACUCUAAGGAGACUGCCGGUGACAAACCGGAGGAAGGUGGGGAUGACGUCAAGUCAGCAUGCCCCUUACGCCCUGGGCUACACACGUACUACAAUGCUAUGGACAAAGGGCAGCAAGCCAGCGAUGGCAAGCAAAUCUCGUAAACCAUGGCUCAGUUCAGAUCGCAGGCUGCAACUCGCCUGCGUGAAGUCGGAAUCGCUAGUAAUUGCAGGUCAGCAUACUGCAGUGAAUUCGUUCCCGGGCCUUGUACACACCGCCCGUCACACCAUGGAAGCUGGUCACGCCCGAAGUCGUUACCCUAAUCUUUCGAGGAGGGGGACGCCGAAGGUAGGACUGGUGACUGGGGUGAAGUCGUAACAAGGUAACCGUACCGGAAGGUGUGGCUGGAUCACCUCCUUUUUAGGGAGACCUACUUUUCAGUCAGCAGUGACCAGUAAACAGUGAGCAAAAAAACUGGUAACUGGUAACUGAUAACUGAACACUGAAAAGACAUCCCUCGGUCGGUCGAGGAAAAGUUGUUGGCUUUCAAACUAUGAUUGGUUCGAUCUAAGUCGCACUCAGACAACCGAACAACAAAGUACGGUUGUGAGUAGGCAAACAGUCAAAGAGAUUGUUACACUCAAAAAUGGCGGCUGCAAAUAUUGCUUUUUAGCAAUACGUGGCUCAAGAAAUAGAUCCAGCAAUAUUGCUUGAAACAGCAAGGCUGCUGGGUGUGAACCAGCCAGAACCUUGAAAACUGCAUAGUAACGCGAAGCAGGUAGACACAGACAUACUAUGAUUGCAUGGAUGAAAGUGUUUGCUGAUAUAGAUUUCACCAAUUGUUGAGUGGUCAAGCGAAUAAGGGCUAAUGGUGGAUACCUAGGCACACAGAGGCGAAG